GAUGAAGACGUAGCGAAAUGCGAUAAGUAAUGUGAAUUGCAGAAUUCAGUGAAUCAUCGAAUCUUUGAACGCAUCUUGCGCUCCUUGGUAUUCUGAGGAGCAUGCCUGUUUGAGUGUCAUUAAAUUCUCAACUACACUGACUUUGAAUUGGUGUGGCUUGGAUUUGGGGGGAAAAUUGUUGUGGGCUUUUUGUAUAGUCUGCUCCCCUGAAAUUGAUUAGCGGUACCUUUGUGGAACUGUCUACAGGUGUGAUAAUUAUCUACAUCUUAGACAUCUGCUGGAAUGCUGCUCUCUAAACCUUACUUGUAUUGACAAUCUUGACCUCAAAUCAGGUAGGACUACCCGCUGAACUUAAGCAUAUCAAUAAGCGGAGGA
rnacentral:misc_RNA from 1 species